GGGAAUGUGGCUUAGUGGUAGAGUGCUUGCCUAACAUGCAUCAAGCCCUAGGUUUGAUUCCUCAGUACCA
rfam:Dipodomys ordii contig_70682, whole genome shotgun sequence.